AUUUUUGUAUAAAAGUGUGAGUGUGAAUGUAAGAAAUUAUUUUUGUAGAAAGGUGUGAGUGUGAAUGCAAGAAAAUUGGAAAAGUGGGUGGUGAGAUUUUUCCUAAGCUCCACACGUAUUCCACCCAAAGUCCCCAUCUUUUAUCCCCUUUUUGCUGCCCAAAAAAUCUUCCCCUUAUCUCAUUUUCUUGGCUGCACCAGACAGAAAGUCCAGCCCUCUUUCCCUACUCUUUUCCUUGUUCUUUGUUUCUCUCUUCUCCCCUUCUUACAUGGCAGCCCUCCCUCUCUCACCAAAACAAAAUAUUCCUCUCUAAAGAAGAAAUUAAAGGGUUAACACUAAAAUUUCAACUUCAAAUUGUUGGGGGUGUUACCAGUAUCCAAGUCUAAGCUCCUUCAACUGUAGGCCCUUGGUUCCUCUGCUUUCAGUUAGCAGGUUUUAUUUUGGAGCAGAGGGAGCCUUAGUCGAGUUUGGAAAGAGCUGGUUUUAGUUUGAUAUGCAUAGAUCCUAAAUUAGCAAUUUGAUGUUUAGCUUUGUAGUAUUGUGUAUUUUAGGAUCUAAAGAAAGUUGUGUACCUUAAAGUAUUAAGAGACGUAUUAUGUGAAAGUGUGGAAAUUAAAUGAUUGGUGAAUUAUAUUAUAUUUUGAGUACA